GAUGAACGCUAGCUACAGGCUUAACACAUGCAAGUCGAGGGGAAACGACAUCGAAAGCUUGCUUUUGAUGGGCGUCGACCGGCGCACGGGUGAGUAACGCGUAUCCAACCUGCCCACCACUUGGGGAUAACCUUGCGAAAGUAAGACUAAUACCCAAUGAUAUCCCACGAAGGCAUCCGAAUGGGAUUAAAGAUUUAUCGGUGAUGGAUGGGGAUGCGUCUGAUUAGCUUGUUGGCGGGGUAACGGCCCACCAAGGCAACGAUCAGUAGGGGUUCUGAGAGGAAGGUCCCCCCACAUUGGAACUGAGACACGGUCCAAACUCCUACGGGAGGCAGCAGUGAGGAAUAUUGGUCAAUGGGCGAGAGCCUGAACCAGCCAAGUAGCGUGCAGGAUGACGGCCCUAUGGGUUGUAAACUGCUUUUGUUUGGGAGCAAAGUGGCCACGCGUGGUCUUUUGCAUGUACCGUAUGAAUAAGGACCGGCUAAUUCCGUGCCAGCAGCCGC
rnacentral:rRNA from 1 species